UACGGAGGGUGCGAGCGUUGUCCGGAAUCAUUGGGCGUAAAGGGCGCGUAGGUGGCCCCUCAAGCGUGCGGUGAAAGUCAGGGGCUCAACCCCUGAUCGGCCGUGCGAACUGGGGAGCUUGAGCACUGUAGAGGCAGGCGGAAUUCCGGGUGUAGCGGUGGAAUGCGUAGAGAUCCGGAAGAACACCGGUGGCGAAGGAGGCCUGCUGGGCAGUUUUGCUGACACUGAGGCGCGACAGCGUGGGGAGCAAACAGG
rnacentral:rRNA from 1 species